rnacentral:rRNA from 1 species
GAGUUUGAUCAUGGCUCAGGACGAACGCUGGCGGCGUGCCUAAUACAUGCAAGUCGAGCGCAGGAAGCCGUCUGAACCCUUCGGGGGGACGACGGUGGAAUGAGCGGCGGACGGGUGAGUAACACGUAAAGAACCUGCCCAUAGGUCUGGGAUAACCACGAGAAAUCGGGGCUAAUACCGGAUGUGUCAUCGGACCGCAUGGUCCGUUGAUGAAAGGCGCUCCGGCGUCGCCCAUGGAUGGCUUUGCGGUGCAUUAGCUAGUUGGUGGGGUAACGGCCCACCAAGGCGACGAUGCAUAGCCGACCUGAGAGGGUGAUCGGCCACACUGGGACUGAGACACGGCCCAGACUCCUACGGGAGGCAGCAGUAGGGAAUCUUCCACAAUGGACGAAAGUCUGAUGGAGCAACGCCGCGUGAACGAUGAAGGCUUUCGGGUCGUAAAGUUCUGUUGUAAGGGAAGAACAAGUGCCGCAGGCAAUGGCGGCACCUUGACGGUACCUUGCGAGAAAGCCACGGCUAACUACGUGCCAGCAGCCGCGGUAAUACGUAGGUGGCAAGCGUUGUCCGGAAUUAUUGGGCGUAAAGCGCGCGCAGGCGGCCUCUUAAGUCUGAUGUGAAA